UGGGGAAUAUUGCACAAUGGGCGCAAGCCUGAUGCAGCAACGCCGCGUGAACGAUGAAGGUCUUCGGAUCGUAAAGUUCUGUUGCAGGGGAAGAUAAUGACGGUACCCUGUGAGGAAGCCCCGGCUAACUACGUGCCAGCAGCCGCGGUAAUACGUAGGGGGCUAGCGUUAUCCGGAUUUACUGGGCGUAAAGGGUGCGUAGGUGGUCCUUCAAGUCGGUGGUUAAAGGCUACGGCUCAACCGUAGUCAGCCGCCGAAACUGGAGGAUUUGAGUGCAGGAGAGGAAAGUGGAAUUCCCAGUGUAGCGGUGAAAUGCGUAGAUAUUGGGAGGAACACCAGUAGCGAAGGCGGCUUUCUGGACUGCAACUGACACUGAGGCACGAAAGCGUGGGUAGCAAACAGG
rnacentral:rRNA from 1 species